GCUUGGGAUUAUGUGCGUAGUACUAUGCUACUUUUCUAAAUCAACUCCAGAGUAGUAGUAUUUUUUUUUCCAAUUCGAUUUGAACACAAUGCACUUCUAGGUUAUCAUUUUAAAUAAAACCAUUAAUCUAAAACCCAUUUAUUAUGUCACCAUUCCUCAUCCUUCAACUCCGAUUAUCUAGGCUUGGGAAUGAUAGUUUCUAACAAGUGUAUGACUCAAUUAUGAUGCAAAAGAGUUAGACUGAAAAUAUAUGUUCUUAUAAUGAAAAGAAUGCCAUUGUAUCAUCCCCUAAGAGCCAUAAAUCACAAAAUAAAUAUAAUUGAACCCAAAUAUAAAUAUAUGCCUUUAAUAAGAAUAUUAUGUUCCCACAAUAAAAAAAGAGGCUCAAAGUGUAUGAAUAAGUCUCCACUCUUUUAUGUCAAGAUUUUAUGAAUACAUAGUAGUUAUGUUUUUAAUAAGAAUAUUAUGUUCCCACAACAAAAGGAGAGGCUCAAAGUGUAUGAAUAGGUAAUUAAGUCUCCACUCUUUUAUGUCAAGAUGUUAUGAAUACAUAGUAGUUCAACUUUGUUCAUUUGGCUUAUGCUAAAGUUAUGUAAAAAAUGGCCCAUUAUACAAAUCUAAUAUCACUUAAGUAAUAAACUGGAUUUUUAUAAUUCACAUGAGUAUGUUUAGAGUCAAAUAUAUCUUUAAACUAUUGAUUAAAUCAAAUUUUACCAAAAAUUUCAAAAAAUUGGAUUUUUUUUACUUAAAUAAAAAAAUGCUAUCAAAAACUAACCCUUACCCCUCAACUUGAAUUGUGCAGUGUCCUCAAUGAAAAAUAAUAACAAUUAUCAAAAUAAAAGGGAAUGAAGUCACCUAUGAGCAUAACAUCUUAUCAACUAGUGCAGCUGCCUGCACCUCUAGUGCUCUACGGACUUAGCCGAUCGGUCUAGCAUUGGUCCAAUCGGUCGGGCAUAAGGCAAUUCAUGCCUUUUGUCUUCUGGUCCUUCCUGGACCGAUAGAGAAAUGCCUAGACCUGUCCAGGCAUGGUGGUUUAGAUUUUGAUAAAUUUCUUUUUAACACUUUUCCACCCUGCAAAAUACUUAAUUCUACUUGUGCUACAAAAGAUAUAAAAUGAACAAUUUUAUGCGCAAUAGAUCUAUGAUUUGCAUCAUACCUCUGUCUAAUCACCUGGACUGCUUGCAAUAUUAAUUUUCUAAAACGGAUGUUAAAACAAAUACCAAAAAGGUGCAAUUUAAUAAGCGAGCAUUGAAAUAAAGCAGAAAUAGAAAAAAUAAACUAUAUGUAAGAAAACUAACAUCAAAUCAUCGGGUGAUUUUUCAAUGUUAGAAACACCAUCAUCCAGUUGGAUAAUGAUGCACAAAAGAUCCCAGCUUAGAUUAUUUGAACAAAAUUAUAUUCGACCAUACCAUGUGAUCAAAUACUUGGAAUAUUUUUUAUUUUUUCUGCACCUUAAGUAUCUUUAUUUCACCACUAUUUCAUUUUUAAUUGGUGUAGUUUUGAGUUUGUUGACUAGUUGGACAAAAUAAUGAUCCACAACCCAAUUAAAAUUUUCAACACUAAAAAAAUCGAUUAGCUCUACAUCAAUGAAAGACUUAGUUGGACUAAGAUUAGGCAACUCAACUUCAUCCAUACAUUAAGUUGUUUAAGUGGUGCGAUCAGUUCUUGUGUCAGAUUUUCGUGGUCCUCAUUGAUAUGUUCAACCUCAAAACUAUUGGGUUUGUUUUGUGUUUCCCACAACUCACUGUUAUAUUCCUUACUAUAGGUCUCUACCUCCCAUACUUGUUCCUAUCGGCCUUGAGUCAAUGACUCUUGCUCCUCUUGUCCAUUAAACAUGUGAACUAGAUGAUCCACUUGGAUUCCUAGUUCAACAAUUGAUUGACAAUUGGACGCGAGUUCUUGAACACUAGCCUCAUAAUCUUGUAACGUUUGCAACAUACUAUCCUCAAAAUCUAGAUUUUCUUGAGGUAGCGGAGGAUAGUAAUGUUAGUAGGGCUGUUUAGGAGGGCCAAUGUAAUGGGAAUGAAUAUAGGACAUAUUAGUGUCCUCCAUCCAUAGUUUUUGGGUCCAAGAAGAGUUUGAGUGAGUUUUCCACUCAUUGUUGUGAGUGUACGAGUAUGAAUUGUUACUACUAGAAUUCAAGCAUCCUUGGGUAGUGUUGAUAAAUUUUUGCACAAACUUAGGAAACUCACGAGCCUGAGGACAUUCAGUCACAAGGUGGUUGUGACUAGAACAUAUAAGGCAUGACUCUUUGUAAAAAACUUUCUUAUGGUUGGGUUGGGGACACGAUGUUCGUUGGCUUUGAAGAACAUCUGCAAAGUGUCCUUUAGACUCUAUUUUUGAGGAGGCUGGUACACAUCUGGAAUUAGGGGAUAAUAAUGACCUUGUGGACUAUAGAUUUCUAAAAAAUUUUGUUGUCCAUAAGGCCCUUGCCCUAUUGAGGUCAUAUGUUGGUGGGAUUCAGUGUACAAUAAUUCCUUAGACCACGGUGGUGGAGGUGAAUAUGUAGAAGCAUUAUAUCUAUCCCAUUCAUGAUUGGACUGUGGUACGUCAAAAUUAAAAUCAAAAGGCAUCAUUUUUCCCCCAAAAGUAACUAAAAAACAACACUUACAAUCCUUGUGAUGAAAUCACAAGGACUCAGCUUGGCAUUUAAGCUCCCCAGCAAAGAUGCCAUAAAUGCUUGUCACUUUACCGUGUUUAUUUUAUUUAUCUAAUUCAGUUCCCAAGCGUAGAAAUUUAGUUAAUUCAGCAUAAUACUCGAAAGUCCCGAUGUCAUUUUUUCACAAAGAACUUGUAUGCAAGAUUGAGUUUUGUUGUAAUUAAAGAAAGUGUAAAAUUAUGAUUUUUUUCUUCUUUUUGUAAAUAGUGUGAAUAAAAAUGUAACCUACAAAUGUAAAAUAGCAAGGUUCAAAUCCUUAGUCGUCUCCUAGUUUAAAUGUGUCAAUUCAUUUUUUCUUUUACAAACUCAAUCAAUUGUCAAGGUAUAAUGAUGAUGGUUGAAAGAUUUUUCAGUGAAAAUAUUGUUUUACGUGUAAAGAUGUGUUUAUAAAAUAAAAAAUGAAUUUGGAUAAUGUUUCAAAUACCUAGAAUGCAAGUGAUCUAAGUAUUAUUUGUACCAAGUAUUCUUGUUAAAAAAUAAUCAAGAAUGGGUAUAAUUUCAAGUUUUGAUCUUAAAAACUACCAUAAAUCAUUCAUAAAUAUCAUUAAAAUUAUUUUGAAAUAGAAAAGAAAUUAGUUCAUCGAAGGGUUGAAAGAUUACGUAGUCCUUGAACCGAGCCUAAAGAUCUAGUCUUCUGUGUUUAUAGAAGGCUCAAUCUUUAGUGCAAAAUAAUUUAAUAAAACAAAAAGAACUAAACACAUUUAAGAAAAAAGCUGAAAAUAAAAUAGCAUGGAAUAAAUGAAAAUUACAAAAUUACAAUAAAGAGAACUUACAAACUUUUAUCAAAAAGUAAAAUCCGAAAAUUACAGCACUAGAACUUGAACUAUUCUAAUCUAAUCUACAACUAAAAAUAUAAAGUGUAAAAACUAAAACUGAAAGCUAAAAUUAACAGAGAGCUCAUAAAUAAAAACUUGGUUCUUUAUGAGUUUUUCUAUUUGCCAUGAAAUUUACAGUGAAGACAACCAUGAAUGACUUCAUGGCCCCACUUCUCCCCACUUCUCCACAUUUCACAAAACAAACAAGCGGGAAUUGAAAAAAAGAAUUUGGGCAGAAAUUUUGAACCCCAAUCCCUCCAUCCUCCCACCAAACAGUGGUCCCUCCAUCUUUCCACUGCAUUCUUCUCCCUCCCUCUAAUCACCAACCACCACCACCCUCACCGAACUACCCACCACUUGGCCCCCCCACACGCCAAGUGGUUCCAAGGAUUUUAGUAGUACUCCUUGUAAAUUCAAUUCUCUCUCCUCUAUGGGUAUGUUUCAUCUUUUUUUUUUUGUGAAAAUGUAUGUUCCUACCAUUAGCACUAAACAGGAGUUUUUUCACUCUUUUAGAUGUCUUGGAAUAAAUCCCAGUGAAUGUCCACUGCUGACUGAUAUCACAAAGUGGUGCUUCAAAGUGGGGAUUAAAAAUUAAGGCUUAACGGUGGGAUUAAAAAAUUAGGGGAUGAAAAAUAGAAUUAAAAUUUUUUAAUUUCUAGAAACCUUGAUUCUUUGUGUUUUUAAAUCUUAUAUUUCUUAUUUUUGUAGAAUCAUGAAUAAAGAUAUGGAAUUUGGAGAGAAUAUGAAUGUGGGGCGGUAUUGGAACCUCAAGUCGGAACAAUAUUCAUUUCAAAAAUGAAGCCAAGGAAUAUUAUAGUACUUAUGCAAAAGCAAAAGGUUUUGGUUCGGUCGUCAAAGCAUUUAAGAAGCUUGACUAUGGGGUAAGGCAUACAUAACUUAGCUUCAUCGCAGUGGAAAGCCCAGGACAACGCUUUGAAGCCGUUAUCCCAUCCAACAUCAAAGUAGAUUGUAAAGCGCAUAUGAUAUCUCUUUGCCAAGUUGAUGGAAAGUGGAUGUUUAAUUCGAUUGCAUUUAACACAUAACCAUGAUUGACCCGGAAAAGGCGAAAUAUCUUAAGUGUUAUCGGACUCUCCCACCACAUCGCAAAGGGCAAUUGAAUUGAAGCAUGGAUGUUGGAAUCAAAUUAAACCCCAUUUAUUAGGGCAUGUUUGAUUGGGAAGGGGGCCCGUAAUCAUGUGACGUGGAUAGAAAGGAUGCCUUAAUCACAAUGAUAAAGUUAGGCGUUCAGAGCUCACGGAAGGGGCUGCGCAGGCAAUGCAUAGUUUACUUUGUUAGGAUGCCAAGACACGGUAACUUCUUUUAUGCCAUCGAAUUUGAUAAAGAUCAUCCAAUAAAUAAAAUUUAUUAUUAAUAAAUCCUUUUUGGGCGCGAUGCUAGGAGUCGAGGUUAUACCAAGAAUUUGGUCGAUGUGGUUACAUUUACACCACUUAUCUUGUUUAACACUUCGAUAUUCCUUUCGCACCAUUUUGUAGGGGUCACCCUCAUGGACAGUCAUUGUUUGGUUG
rnacentral:lncRNA from 1 species